rnacentral:rRNA from 1 species
AUUGAACGCUGGCGGCAGGCCUAACACAUGCAAGUCGAACGAGUGGCGUACGGGUGAGUAAUGUCUGGGACACUGCCUGAUGGAGGGGGAUAACUACUGGAAACGGUAGCUAAUACCGCAUACCAUCGGAUGUGCCCAGUUGGGAUUGCUAGUGGGGGGGGAAAAGGCUCACCAAGGCGGCGAUCCCUAGCUGGUCUGAGAGGAUGACCAGCCACACUGGAACUGAGACACGGUCCAGACUCCUACGGGAGGCAGCAGUGGGGAAUAUUGGACAAUGGGCGAAAGCCUGAUGCAGCCAUGCCGCGUGUAUGAAGAAGGUCUUCGGGUUGUAAAGUACUUUAAGCGGGGAGGCGUUACCAGCAGAAGAAGCAUCGGCUAACUCCGUGCCAGCAGCCGCGGUAAUUC